UACGGAGGGUGCGAGCGUUAAUCGGAAUCACUGGGCGUAAAGCGCACGUAGGCUGCUUGGUAAGUCAGGGGUGAAAGCCCGCGGCUCAACCGCGGAAUUGCCUUUGAUACUGCCGAGCUAGAGUCCGGGAGAGGGUAGUGGAAUUCCAGGUGUAGGAGUGAAAUCCGUAGAGAUCUGGAGGAACAUCAGUGGCGAAGGCGACUACCUGGACCGGUACUGACGCUGAGGUGCGAAAGCGUGGGGAGCAAACAGG
rnacentral:rRNA from 1 species